GGAGCCUUCUACCUGGUGGUCUUGGACAUUUGUACUUCGGGCCUGCAGAGGUUUCUCACAAGACUGCACUGAAAGCAUCUGCAGUGGUUGCUUUAACAUCAUAAUAUACAUCAUUAACUUAUCACAGUUGACCUUCAGUUCUCCUCCCCCCCCACCUCCUGCCUCUGCUUAUUUGCAUGCUGCAUAAUCUUUGAUUUUAUUCAAGAUGUGAAUUUUAUCUUUUGGGGUGCUAGUUAGGAGAGGAACAAUCCCUGUUGCAAGUAGGAGAGAGCUAAUAUUCCAGCUGUAAGCCUCUCAUUCAAGGUUCUUGCUGCAGCCAGCAGUGUCCUUGGAAUCUAGUUCAAAGCUGGAGAAAGUGAACCAUGGAGCUGGGAGCCAUUGGUGGAGGGCCUGGCCUGAAGGAAGUGAAGUGUUACAGCCAGAAUGUACUGACGCAUGACCAGGAAACCACAGACUGGUGAAAACCUUUCCAAGCCUGAGCUCUAUGAUCAAAUGAGGUACAGGAAGUAGCUCUGCCAAGAGUCCUCUCCGCUGCUGCCUGGAACCCUGAGCUUCUAAGCUUCCCUGAGUCAACUCUCCAAGCAGAUGCUGUCGUCUAUGGAGCCAUUACUAAAGCAUGUCCUUGCUUUGCUCUCGGGUGACUCCACUGGUGGGUGAGAGUGAGUCCCUUGCUUUUUUUUCUCUUUCUCACUUCUUUUUGGCAGAGUUUGCUGUCUGAUCACUCCACUUUGAUUUUUCCAGAAAUCAUAGAUGACUGGAUCUUUAUCCUUUGCCAACUGGCCAUUGUUUGAUGCUCAGGGCCUAUAUACAAAAACUAAAUCCUCAAACUCUUAGCAAUACCUAGAUCACCUGAUCAGCAAGUAUCAAUAGCCUGGACUUAAAUGGGAGUGAAUGUCCCUUAUUUAUCACAUCAUAAAAUCUCUAUCCCUUCUCCCAGACUAGUCUCCCUGUUGUUCAUUUUAAGAAUAGAUUCAAACAGAAAUUACAUUCAGAGCCCUGUCCCAGCUACACAUUGUGUCUGGAUACAAGGUCAAAAUAAUCGUGUUCCUGUGAAUUCUCUCUUUCCUUGGCCACAGUAACUGCCAGUUGCCAUGCAAUAAAUCACAUCAUCAUAUAACAGAUCCAGUUAAUAGCUGAGAAUAGCAGGAUAACUGAAUUAUGUCUUGAGGGCUAAAUGAUGGAGAAAUUGGACUGACCAUGGAGCACUUCAAAUUGAUGGCUUAGUAAUGGUGUAUUUUUCCUGGAAAGAACCGGAUAAUUCUGAACUAUUGAUUUUGUCAAGAGUACAAGCUCCCAUGUAGAAGAAAAUAAAGCAAGUGUGAUGAACUUUUCA